rnacentral:piRNA from 1 species
UACCUACUUCUACCCCUUCUUCAGUUGAU